CUCUCUUAUCUUGCUUUCUCUCUCUAAAAAAAUCGUAGUCUUUCUCUUCCAUUUGUCUGCAAUUUGCUCAUUUCAUUGACCUAAUCCUCUAUUUGUUUCUGCUUCUUCAUUAUGACAUAGUUCUCAAUUCUCAUACUUGUAAAACAUCAAUCAACCAUGUAGAAUCGUUGCUGUCUCACACUGAGAAGGUGAAAUCUAGAUCUCAGCAGGUAACCAUCUCACACAAAGGCUAAUGGGUUACAAAUUAUUUUGGUGUCUGUCAUAAUAUGGGAUAAAAAAAACAGAAAGAAAAAAGAAGCAACUUUGCUAUCAAAAGAAAGGGAAAAAUAGCGAAUACUGCCAUUUUCUUCUUCUUCUUUUGUUUCCCCUCUAAGCUGACUUGAGCCUAUGUAGUGAGAAAGGUCAGAAAAAAGUGUGAUGCCUCACUCCUGACCGAGAAAUGUCCAUACCAAAGAGUCUCUGAGCUAAAUAUUUAUCACUUGUGCACUGCCGGUAGUCUACACUAUUGCUUUUCGCUGAUGAAGAGGCAUCUUGGGCUUGGCUGCUGGCAAAGGACUGAUGGAGAAUACCAAAAAUAUUUUGCAGAACCUCACCCGCAUCAUUCAUUUGUCACUGUGAAUUUGAUUGAUGCGAAAUGUGAUAGUUUGGUGCAUGUACAGAAUGUGUUUGAUGAAAUGCCUCGAAGAAAUUUGUGUUAAUGGAAUGUUUUGGCAUUGUUGUAAUUAACAAGACAAUUUUAUUAUUUUGAGAUUCCAUGGACUUUUUAAUUAAUAAAAUAAUAAACAUGUAAAUAUUCAAAUA